UACGUAGGGGGCAAGCGUUGUCCGGAAUUAUUGGGCGUAAAGGGUGCGUAGGCGGCCGACUAAGUCAGAUGUGAAAUACCAGGGCUCAACCUUGGGGGUGCAUUUGAAACUGGUUGGCUUGAGUGCAGGAGAGGAAAGUGGAAUUCCUAGUGUAGCGGUGAAAUGCGUAGAGAUUAGGAGGAACACCAGUGGCGAAGGCGACUUUCUGGACUGUAACUGACGCUGAGGCACGAAAGCGUGGGGAGCAAACAGG
rnacentral:rRNA from 1 species